rnacentral:rRNA from 1 species
UACAGAGGGUGCGAGCGUUAAUCGGAAUUACUGGGCGUAAAGCGUGCGUAGACGGUAGCGUAAGUCAGAUGUGAAAGCCCCGGGCUCAACCUGGGAAUUGCAUUUGAGACUGCUCUGCUCGGGUGCGGAAGAGGGAAGCGGAAUUUCCGGCGUAGCGGUGAAAUGCGUAGAUAUCGGAAGGAACACCAGUGGCGAAAGCGGCUUCCUGGUCCGACACCGACGUUCAGGCACGAAAGCGUGGGGAGCAAACAGG